GACGAACGCUGGCGGCGUGCUUAACACAUGCAAGUCGAGCGGUAAGGCCCUUUCGGGGGUACGACGAGCGGCGAACGGGUGAGUAACACGUGGGUGACCUGCCCUCAGCUCCGGGAUAAGCCCGGGAAACUGGGUCUAAUACCGGAUAUGACUCCAUGACGCAUGUUGUGGGGUGGAAAGCCUUGUGCGGCUGAGGAUGGGCCCGCGGCCUAUCAGCUUGUUGGUGGGGUGAUGGCCACCAAGGCGACGACGGGUAGCCGGCCUGAGAGGGCGACCGGCCACACUGGGACUGAGACACGGCCCAGACUCCUACGGGAGGCAGCAGUGGGGAAUCUUGCGCAAUGGGCGAAAGCCUGACGCAGCGACGCCGCGUGAGGGAUGACGGCCU
rnacentral:rRNA from 1 species